CUAAUACUGCAUAAGUCUAGUAAUAGAGAAAGGUGGCCUAAAAGCUACCGCCGAAGGAUGAGCCCGCGGCCUAUUAGUUAGUUGGUGAGGUAAAGGCUCACCAAGACGAAGAUGGGUAGCCGGCUGAGAGGGCGAUCGGCCACACUGGAACUGAAACACGGUCCAGACUCCUACGGGAGGCAGCAGUGGGGAAUAUUGCACAAUGGGCGCAAGCCUGAUGCAGCGACGCCGCGUGGAGGAUGAAGGUUUUCGGAUUGUAAACUCCUGUUAAGUGGGACGAAAGACUCAUGGCUAAUAUCCAUGGGGGAUGACGGUACCGCUAGAGAAAGCACCGGCAAACUUCGUG
rnacentral:rRNA from 1 species